UACGUAGGGGGCGAGCGUUGUCCGGAUUUAUUGGGCGUAAAGAGCGUGUAGGCGGUUCGGCAAGUCUGUCGUGAAAUCCUGAGGCUCAACCUCGGGCGUGCGAUGGAUACUGCCGGGCUAGAGGGUGGUAGAGGCGAGUGGAAUUCCCGGUGUAGCGGUGAAAUGCGCAGAUAUCGGGAGGAACACCAGUAGCGAAGGCGGCUCGCUGGGCCACGCCUGACGCUGAGACGCGAAAGCUAGGGGAGCGAACAGG
rnacentral:rRNA from 1 species